GCCUGGGUGGCUCAGUCAGUUGAGCAUCUGACUUUGGCUCAGGUCAUGAUCUCAUGGUUUGUGGGUUCAAGCCCCAUGUCAGUCU
rnacentral:tRNA from 1 species